rnacentral:rRNA from 1 species
GACGAACGCUGGCGGCGUGCCUAAUACAUGCAAGUAGAACGCAGUUGCGAACGGGUGAGUAACGCGUAGGUAACUGCCUCAUAGCGGGGGAUAACUAUUGGAAACGAUAGCUAAUACCGCAUACUGUGAGAUGGACCUGCGUUGUAUUAGCUAGUUGGUGAGGUAAAGGCUCACCAAGGCGACGAUACAUAGCCGACCUGAGAGGGUGAUUGGCCACACUGGGAUUGGUACAAGGCCCAGACUCCUACGGGAGGCAGCAGUUGGGAAUCUUCGGCAAUGGAAGGAGGGUUUACCGGGCAAAGCGGCUGGUGUGAGGUAAGUUUUUGCGGCGUAAUGCUCUGUUGUUUGAGAAGCGGUAACUAACCAUAAAGGAACGGCUAACUACGUGCCAGCAGCCGCGGUAAUAC